rnacentral:rRNA from 1 species
GAUGAACGCUGGCGGCGUGCCUAACACAUGCAAGUCGAGCGAGGGUUUGCUCAGUAUUGAGUAUUCUAAGUCUAGAAUGUUCAAUUCUGAGCAAAACCAAGCGGCGGACGGGUGAGUAACGCGUGGGUAACCUGCCCUAUACACAUGGAUAACAUACUGAAAAGUUUACUAAUACAUGAUAAUAUAUAUUUGUGGCAUCGCAGAUAUAUCAAAGUGUUAGCGGUAUAGGAUGGACCCGCGUCUGAUUAGCUAGUUGGUGAGAUAACUGCCCACCAAGGCGACGAUCAGUAGCCGACCUGAGAGGGUGAUCGGCCACAUUGGAACUGAGACACGGUCCAAACUCCUACGGGAGGCAGCAGUGGGGAAUAUUGCACAAUGGGCGAAAGCCUGAUGCAGCAACGCCGCGUGAACGAUGAAGGUCUUCGGAUCGUAAAGUUCUGUUGCAGGGGAAGAUAAUGACGGUACCCUGUGAGGAAGCCCCGGCUAACUACGUGCCAGCAGCCGCGGUAAUACGUAGGGGGCUAGCGUUAUCCGGAUUUACUGGGCGUAAAGGGUGCGUAGGUGGUCCUUCAAGUCGGUGGUUAAAGGCUACGGCUCAACCGUAGUAAGCCGCCGAAACUGGAGGACUUUGAGUGCAGGAGAGGAAAGUGGAAUUCCCAGUGUAGCGGUGAAAUGCGUAGAUAUUGGGGAGGAACACCAGUAUCGAAUGCGGCUUUCUGGACUGCAACUGACACCGUGGCACUAAAGCGUGGGUUACAAACACG